CUGGAUUUCCGGUGCUUCUGUCCAAAAGGAUUUAGUGGAAUUAUCUGUCAAAACCCUUAUCCGGCUUGUCAGUCAAGCCCAUGCCUCCACGGUGGGUCAUGUCUGGAUUCUUCAAAUACCGCUGAUGUGGCCUUCAAUGCCAUUGGUUACAAAUGCCUUUGUAUCGAAGGAUUCAAGGGCCCGAACUGUGAAGUAACUGAGAAGGGAAUACUCAAAACGAAGCCUGUUAAUAAGACUCUGCCCACAGGACUUGUAGUGCAACCACAGAAACCCUACCAACUUGUGA